rnacentral:lncRNA from 1 species
CUUGGUAUAGAAGAAUACCUAUCACGCUAUAUCCAAUAUGUCUGAAGAUGUCCUAAGGUGCCCAAAUGUUCACCCUCCGAUGUUGAUCCACACAGGAAUGGGUUCAAGACUCUAGCUCCACCAAAACUUGAUUCUAAUUGUUCAAUCCUUCCAAAGGAUUUAAUUGGCUGAUUUUCCUUCACUUCCUUCUUCCUUUCUACCUCUAAAACAUUCACUAGCCUUUUUGUCCUAAAGAAGACCCUCUUGUCUUGGGUUAGGACAAAAGAGAGAGGCUUGUAAGAAAGAAG